rnacentral:rRNA from 1 species
AGUUUUCCGGGUGAUGUCGUCCACUCCUCAAGCUACAAGUCAGGCAAGAGCUACUCUGGCAUGAAUGUAUUGGUCAUUGGAUCUGGCAACCCUGGAAUGGAAUUUGCUUAUGACCUUGCGGCCUAUGGUGCCAAUACUUCAGUCAUUAUACGAAGCCCGAUUCAUGUAAUGACAAAGGAACUAAUCCGGUUGGGGAUGACACUUGCUCGCCGCCUUCCACUGAAUCUAGUGGAUAAGCUCCUUGUGAUGGCGGUGAAUUUAAUAUUUGGAAACCUAUCGAGGUAUGGCAUCAGAAGGCCAAAAAUGGAUCCAAUGAUCCUCAAGUCAAAAACCGGCCGAUCCGCUGUUAUUGAUGUUGGCACUGUUGGGUUAAUCAAAAAAGGUAUCAUCAAAGUACAGGGGAGCAUUAGUAAGAUUAUGGGCGAUAUAGUUGAAUUUCAAUGCAGUAAAAAGAUAUCAUUUGACGUGAUUGUGUUUGCAACUGGAUACAAAAGCACAGCAAAUAUAUGACUCAAGAAUGGCGAGAGCAUGUUAAAUGGCAAUGGACUGCCCAUCAAAGAAUAUCCGAAUCAUUGGAAAGGCGAAAAUGGGCUCUACUGUGCUGGGUUAGGAAGGAGAGGAUUGGCUGGUAUUGCAGCAGAUGCCAAGAAUAUCGCCAAUGGCAUCAAAUCAGUGAUAGGCGCUAUGUCCAGCUAA